GUUUAUGGCCGUACCACCUAGAACGUGCCUGAUCUUGUCUGAUCUAGGACACUUAAGCAGGGUUGGGCCUGGUUAGUACUUGGAUGGGAGAGAUUCCUUAUGAUGAUAUCACUU
rnacentral:rRNA from 1 species